AGUCCCGGCGGGAGGCGUGGGCAGGAGGGGGGGCGAGGCUGCAAUACCAACCUCGCUAUUGAAGGUUUUCACAGCCUCCAUGUUGUCGGUGCGGAGGCCCCGAGCCCGGCGGCGGAAGAGGCGGCGGCCACUGCGCUGGACUCCUGUUUCACCUCCCCGCCGCUCGGGCCGCAGGAACCAGCAGCGCACAGCGAAGACGGAGGAGGAAGCGCUGGCAGCAGCGGCUGCGGCAUCCAAUAUGGCGGACGCGAGUCGGGCCGCGCAGCUCGGAGAUCCGCGGCGCCGGCCAGCGCGCCCCCUGGUGACUGGACCGCGCGGGCCCGAGCGGCCGCGCGGAAACCAUCGAGCGAGCGCGGGCCAGAGCGUCGCCUCUCGGAGGUCCCGCUCCGCUCGGCCCGGGGCCGCCCGCGCCUCGCCCCCUCCCCGCGCCUUGCAGACGCGGGAGCGAGCGCUGCGGCCGCGCCGAGCGCCUCGGCCCGCCCUUGGAGGCCCCUGCAAAGCGUUACUCCGAGGAAUGCCUAAGAGUCCCCGGAACGCGACAAGUUUGGGAAAUAAUGCCCACGUUUCCGUUGUUUCCAAGUAGAUUGGUCCUUUUACGUGAGCUGUUGGGUUCAGUUGUUUUUCAGAACUUUACUGGACAGUGGCCUAAAGGUUAACAGCCCAAAGAAAAGUUCCUAAUCAUUCCUUUAUUUAGUAACGAUGUGUCCAUGCAUUUUAAUAGCGUCGGGAGGAAAUGUGAGAAACAAAGCUUCGGAUCCGGGUGGGGGCAGGGGGACGAGGGAAGCACGCACGCAGCCAGCAAGCAGCUCCGAGCAGGAAAUGCACGCUGCAUAAAAUCCAGGGGGACUGGUGCACAGACAAUGAGUGCAUUUGUCUGUGCCGCGGGAAGCGGGUCCCAGGCGCACAAGAUUUGGAUAGGUGAAAGGGAACUCAUGUUUAAUGGAAGAUGAAUUAUUCUGAAGGAAUUUUGCUCUAGGCCGUUUGGAGUUAAGACGGUGAAUUCGAAGGUAUUCGAAGAUGAAGAAAGAUGCUGCUAGCAAAAUGCCUUCUCCCACUUGGUGCAAAUGUAAAAUAACCAAUACCAAAUUAAAAGCGAACAUUAAUUGAAAUUAAAAGUUAGGGUGUACCACUGAACCCCAAACGCCGCUGUCCUCUUGCUGAAAGCCCUUUUUUUCAGCGGUCACCUCCCAAGUUCAUUCAACGAGAAGGGAGGGAAAUGGCAGAAUUUUAUGCUGGGGGACUGUUGGACCCAAGGUACUUUGGUAUAAGAUCUGAGCCCAAAGCCUAUGAAACUGAGAAAGGCGGACCCUUCUUGACUUCUUAGGGUCCGGGUCUACUUCAUUAAAACAACUUUAAUAUAGGGGCUGACUACUUAAAAGGUAAAAAGGAUAACUUCUUCGUCAGUAAGAGCUUAUAUUUUCACCUUCAGAAUCUCAAAUGUGGUCACAAAAGUUCUCCAUCACCAUUGGCCUCCAAUCCUCAUAGGCCUACCCGUUUUGAUUUCUGGUCAACAAUUGCUGUAGCCUUCUAACGGUUCUCCUGCUUGUCUUCCUAGGAUUCAUUCUCCAGACUAGCCAGAGGGACUUUUUGUUGUUGUUAUUAAGACACAAGUCAGAUGAGGUCUGACUUAUAUCCCUUUAGGAUUUUCUCAUUGCUCUUCAGAUAUUGUCAAUAACCUCUUUCUAGGGCCUGAAGUUCCCUGCCUACCACAAUCCAUUCUACUCUGCUUUACUCUCUUCGUUCUGGUCACACUGGCCUCCUUUCUGUUCCUUGGCAACACAAAGCAUUUUCCCACCUAGAACACUUCUAUGUGCCCCUUCCCUCUGGGAUGCUGAUGCUUGUGUUCUUUUCAUAGCUGACUCUUCAUCCUGUCUUCCUCCUGCAAGAGGUCUCUUCCAAUCAGUCCAUCUAAAGGAGCAUGCCAUGACUUGCAUAAGUACCCCACUCAGUAUGAUUCAUGCCAGAUUCUAAAG